rnacentral:rRNA from 1 species
CCGCCCGUCACAUCACGAAAGCGGACUGUACUAGAAGUCGCUGCGCUAACCGCAAGGAGGCAGGCGCUCAAGGUAUGGUUCGUGAUUGGGGUG